CAACUACUCCCUCUGUCCCAAAUUUCUUGUCUUAGAUUUGUCUAGAUACAGAUGUAUCUAAUACUAAAAUGUGACUUGAUACAUCCGUAUCUACACAAAUCUAUGACAAGAAUUUUGGGACGGAGGGAGUACUUU
rfam:Triticum aestivum genome assembly, contig: Triticum_aestivum_CS42_TGACv1_scaffold_558442_7AL